AUUUAGGGCCUCCCUUCCUUGUGCCCUAAAUGAUCCUCCUUGGCUCUGAGGACAAAGGGAAGAGAGGAUCUUUCUCAGUCCAUGCACACGAGCUCCCCUCUAUGUCCCGGCCAGAGUGGGCAGCUCUCUGCUCACAUCGGCUCUGUCCUGGGUUGAUGGUCUUCCCUGAUGAACAUUGUGGAACCCUUUCCUGCCCAACCCACUCUGCACUAGAUAUGGUCUGAGACCUGCUCCUUUCUACUUAGCAAAUGGGAAUAAAGGAAGCAGCUGGGCACAUGGAGAGAGCAGGGCUCUGGAGCCAGAAAACUGGUGCUUACUACCCCUGGGACCUGGGAAAUUACUCUACUGGCCUCGGUUUCCUGAACUGUAGUUGGAAUAAUUGAGUCUCUGAGGUUUUGGUUACUUCUAAAGUGAUCCUCAAUUUAAAUGUUCCACUGGUGCUUAUGGCUUCUGCUGGUGUGACCUUGUUUACCUUCAGUUCCCUCUAUAACAAAGGGUUCUUUCCAAUUCUAGACCCGAUGAUCCUAGGAUACAAAGUCUCCCUCCCCCAAGCCCAUGCAGCUUUUUG
rnacentral:lncRNA from 1 species